GCAGGCUGCAACUCGCCUGUAUGAAGUCGGAAUUGCUAGUAAUCGCGGAUCAGCAUGCCGCGGUGAAUACGUUCCCGGGCCUUGUACACACCGCCCGUCACACCAUGAGAGUCGGGAACACCCGAAGUCCGUAGUCUAACCGCAAGGAGGGCGCGGCCGAAGGUGGGCUUGAUAAUUGGGGUGAAGUCGUAACAAGGUAGC
rnacentral:rRNA from 1 species